AACGACUCUCGGCAACGGAUAUCUCGGCUCUGGCAUCGAUGAAGAACGUAGCGAAAUGCGAUACUUGGUGUGAAUUGCAGAAUCCCGUGAACCAUCGAGUCUUUGAACGCAAGUUGCGCCCGAAGCCAUUAGGUUGAGGGCACGUCUGCCUGGGCGUCACGCA
rnacentral:rRNA from 1 species